UACGUAGGGAGCAAGCGUUGUCCGGAAUCAUUGGGCGUAAAGCGCGCGUAGGUGGCCUCAUAAGUCCGCUGUGAAAGUCAAAGGCUCAACCUUUGAAAGCCGGUGGAUACUGUGAGGCUAGAGUACGGAAGAGGCGAGUGGAAUUCCUGGUGUAGCGGUGGAAUGCGCAGAUAUCGGGAAGAACACCCGUGGCGAAGGCGGCUCUCUGGAACGCAACUGACGCUGAGACGCGAAAGCGUGGGGAGCAAACAGG
rnacentral:rRNA from 1 species